GAGUCCUCGGGACCCUUUGGGGAUGUCUGGGGCCCAGGCUGAGUGACAAGAAAAGUGUCAACCACCGAGCCCAUCCAAUGGUCAGGUAGAGGAAAGCCCUACUCCCAAGGGAUUCACCGCGGCUGCCAGGCCCUGAGGUCGAGGGAGGUUCUGAAGACGUGGCCACACCGCGGGGGCUGUGGAUCUGUGCCCUGGCCUGCCUUCUCACCCCUCCCGGAGAAACAGCUGGGCUCCCCUUUCCUGCUAAGGCGGCGACCCAAUCUAAAGUUUCCCUGCUCUCAAAAGACUGCGCCUCCGAAGGUGCUGGAAGGAGGCUGAAGUUCAUUCUUCCACAGAGGCAAGCCUCAUUCUUAGGAAGGGAAUAAGGCAAGGGAAGGGCGUAGCAGCCUUCUUGUUGGCCCCAACCCCCUACAUUGGAGCCCAAGGUGGAAGACCCCGUGACCCUUGCAUCGCCUUUAUUCCCUAAUUAGGCCCUGAGUUGUAACCUGGGGUAGUCGGUGUAGAUAAUUUUAAGGUGUGUGUGUGGGGGGGUGCAGAUGGGCGAGGUAACUCAGUAUGAUUUCCAGGGCCGCCUGGUCCGAGUGCCCCAUCUCAGGUUGUCUUCCUAGCAGGUUGCAUGAAUGGUUAUGCUCUCAGUGCCUCAGAUGCAUUCUUAUCAUUCAGCCAGGUUUGGUGAUGCAAGUAUUUCUACCUAAUUCCGAUAAAACCUAAGAGCUCCGAAGAGGAUUCUCGCAAACUGGAAGCUGAGAGGUUGAUGAGCAAGAAGGGGAGCUCUAUUGGAGAGAAGCCUGUAGGGCUUUAAGGACUAGGGCUUAGGAGGUCGGUUCAAUGUGACCUCUUACUCAAAAAUGCCAUUCUGGGUCCUAAGGCGAUGUCCGGAGACAAUGACCACAUCGUGCCAACUGGACUGCCCCGCCCGCUGCUGCCGUAUUUUAAAAUGACAGCCUGGCUGAAAACCAGAUUCUACUUGACCUCCACUUAAUUUUAAUAGCUCGUAGCCAAUUCUUCUCAAAAUAAAGCCACUCCUGCACUCUUGUA